rnacentral:rRNA from 1 species
AGCGAACGCUGGCGGCAGGCCUAACACAUGCAAGUCGAACGAAGUCUUCGGACUUAGUGGCGGACGGGUGAGUAACACGUGGGAACGUACCUUUUGGUUCGGAACAACUCAGGGAAACUUGAGCUAAUACCGGAUGAGCCCUUAGGGGGAGAGAUUUAUCGCCGAAAGAGCGGCCCGCAUUAGAUUAGCUAGUUGGUGAGGUAAAGGCUCACCAAGGCUACGAUCUAUAGCUGGUCUGAGAGGAUGAUCAGCCACACUGGGACUGAGACACGGCCCAGACUCCUACGGGAGGCAGCAGUGGGGAAUCUUGCGCAAUGGGCGAAAGCCUGACGCAGCCAUGCCGCGUGAAUGAUGAAGGUCUUAGGAUUGUAAAAUUCUUUUACCAGGGACGAUAAUGACGGUACCUGGAGAAAAAGCCCCGGCUAACUUCGUGCCAGCAGCCGCCGUAAAAC